UCUGCCCAGCCCAGUGGUUAUGCAUAGAAUGUAUUAACGUUAGGGGGGAGGGGGACCAAGGGGCACAUCUAAGAUACCUUAUAAACAAAGAAUGAUCCUACAUGGCCUUUUGUUCUGGGAGCCUGUAGUAGGGGAUCCCUACCCCUACUUCUGACAAAAGGAGAGAGCUGUAUUGCAGAAGGUAGGCUGGGGAAAGGCAUCUUGAAGAAAAUAUUGAGCUUUAGGACCAAGUAGCUAAUGAGAGGAUUGAGAGCCCUUGCAGCAGAUUUGGGGAUUAGCAGCACCUGGGCCCUGUUUUCCAGAUAGCCAAAUCAGGUGACUGGAGGGGGAGGAGUCAAAGGCCAUAUAAGCCCAAGCACAGAGCUAAGAAGGUAGUCUAGCCUAGAUCUCUACAACUACAGGACCUAUCCCCAUAGCCUCUCAUGAACUCCUGGAAACUGCAAACAGUUUUGGCAUCUGCAGACAUGAUCAGAUCUAGGAUUUUGAAAAACCCUGAAGGAACAUAUUCUCCUUUCAGUUUGAUACCCCGCCUGGCUGCUGGGGCUAAGCGGUGCCAAACACGCUUCCUAGCCACUCGUGCCUGAUGCUCCAGCAACCUGCGUCCCCAGGCGGCCAUACGGGCGAGGAGCGUGCC